AGAUUGAACGCUGGCGGCAGGCCUAACACAUGCAAGUCGAGCGGCAGCACGGGUACUUGUACCUGGUGGCGAGCGGCGGACGGGUGAGUAAUGCCUAGGAAUCUGCCUGGUAGUGGGGGAUAACGCUCGGAAACGGACGCUAAUACCGCAUACGUCCUACGGGAGAAAGCAGGGGACCUUCGGGCCUUGCGCUAUCAGAUGAGCCUAGGUCGGAUUAGCUAGUUGGUGAGGUAAUGGCUCACCAAGGCGACGAUCCGUAACUGGUCUGAGAGGAUGAUCAGUCACACUGGAACUGAGACACGGUCCAGACUCGUACGGGAGCAGCAGUGGGAAUAGUGGACAAGUGGGACGAAAGCCUGAUCCAGCCAUCGCCGCGUGUGUGAAGAAGGUCGUUACGGUAUUAGUAAAGCUAACGUUUAAGGUU
rnacentral:rRNA from 1 species